GAGAGAGGAGGGACCUGCCUCUAAAAGGUGUCUCUCUGGGAAGAGAGAGGAGGGACCUGCCUCUAAAAGGCAUCUCUCUGGGGAGAGAGAAAAGGAGGGACCUGCCUCUAAAAUGAGUCUCUCUUGGGAGAGAGAGGAGGGACCUGCCUCUAAAAGGUGUCUCUCUGGGAAGAGAGAGGAGGGACCUGCCUCUAAAAGGCAUCUCUCUGGGGAGAGAGAGGAGGGGGCCCCUGCCUCUAAAAUGUGGCUCUCUGGGGAACAUGACACCAAAUCUAAGAGCAGUGUGGAAAGGGACAGAAAGAAGCACACAGGAGUUUUCCUGUGAGGGGAGUGGUGGUGUAUCCAGGGAGAAAACUAAACUAAUCUUCUGAAAUGUCAUUAGUGGUCUUCUGCUGCCAUCUAUUGGAAUUAUGUAGCAACUGCAGUAGUACUGAAUAAUGUGUAAUUCCUUACUAAAGUAGUAAUUAUAUAACAUUUUCUAGUUCAUUUCACCACUUACAACCAUAAAAUAACCAUUUAUGAAAUUUGUGAAACUCUUCUUCUGUUUCCCCAUCUGAGCUCAGAGGAGAU
ensembl:lncRNA